CCUACGGGGGGCAGCAGUCGAGAAUCAUUCACAAUGGGGGAAACCCUGAUGGUGCGACGCCGCGUGGGGGAAUGAAGGUCUUCGGAUUGUAAACCCCUGUCAUGUGGGAGCAAAUUAAAAAGAUAGUACCACAAGAGGAAGAGACGGCUAACUCUGUGCCGGCAGCCGCGGUAAUACAGAGGUCUCAAGCGUUGUUCGGAAUCACUGGGCGUAAGGCGUGCGUAGGCUGUUUCGUAAGUCGUGUGUGAAAGGCGCGGGCUCAACCCGCGGACGGCACAUGAUACUGCGAGACUAGAGUAAUGGAGGGGGAACCGGAAUUCUCGGUGUAGCAGUGAAAUGCGUAGAGAUCGAGAGGAACACUCGUGGCGAAGGCGGGUUCCUGGACAUUAACUGACGCUGAGGCACGAAGGCCAGGGGAGCGAAAGGGAUUAGAUACCCCUGUAGUC
rnacentral:rRNA from 1 species